GGCAGCUGUAGACCACCGGUAGGUUGCCAGCCUCAUAAGCUGGAGAUACGGGGUUCGACUCCCUGCGCUGCUACCA
rnacentral:tRNA from 12 species